UCCCCCGUGGUCUAGUGGUUAGGAUUUGGCACUGUCACUGCUGGAGGCCCGGGUUCAAUUCCUGGUGGGGGAA